rnacentral:rRNA from 1 species
CCUACGGGAGGCUGCAGUGGGGAAUAUUGCGCAAUGGGCGCAAGCCUGAUCCAGCCACGCCGCGUGAAGGAAGAAGGCUUUCGGGUUGUAAACUUCUUUUCUCAGGGACGAAGAAAGUGACGUUACCUGAGGAAUAAGCCACUGCUAACUACGGACCAGCCGCCGCGUUACUACGUAGCUGGCAAGCGUUAUCCGGAAGUAGUGGGUGUAAAGUGCGUGUAGGCGGGAGAGCAAGUCAGAUGGGAAAACUGAGUGCUAAACACUGAGCCUGCAUGUGAAACGGUGAUUCUUGAGUGCUGUAGAGGGGAUUGGAAUUCCGAGUGUAGGGGUGAAAUGCGUAGAGAUUAGGAGGAACACCAGUGGCGAAGGCGGAUUGCUGGACAGUAACUGACGCUGAGGCGCGAAAGCGUGGGGAGCAAACAGGAUUAGAUACCCUGGUAGUC